GACGAACGCUGGCGGCGUGCUUAACACAUGCAAGUCGAACGAAGAGCGAUGGAAGCUUGCUUCUAUCAAUCUUAGUGGCGAACGGGUGAGUAACGCGUAAUCAACCUGCCCUUCAGAGGGGGACAACAGUUGGAAACGAAUGCUAAUACCGCAUACGAUCUAACCUCGGCAUCGAGGAUAGAUGAAAGGUGGCCUCUACAUGUAAGCUAUCACUGCAGGAGGGGAUUGCGUCUGAUUAGCUAGUUGGAGGGGUAACGGCCCACCAAGGCGAUGAUCAGUAGCCGGUCUGAGAGGAUGAACGGCCACAUUGGGACUGAGACACGGCCCAGACUCCUACGGGAGGCAGCAGUGGGGAAUCUUCCGCAAUGGACGAAAGUCUGACGGAGCAACGCCGCGUGAGUGAUGACGGCCUUCGGGUUGUAAAGCUCUGUUAAUCGGGACGAAAGGCCUUCUUGCGAAUAGUUAGAAGGAUUGACGGUACCGGAAUAGAAAGCCACGGCUAACUACGUG
rnacentral:rRNA from 1 species